rnacentral:lncRNA from 1 species
GGAACUACAAAAAUAAAAUUCUUUAUUAAACAAAUAACUGCAACAUUUAUAAAUCUAAAUUUAAAUUGUGAAAAUCGUAUCUAAACAUAAAUAUAAACUUUUAUUUAAUUCAAAUAACACAUUCUGAAUAAAUUAAACUAACUGGUAAAUUUAAAACAACAAACUUAAUUCUUUUUCUCUAUUCUUUAUCCAAUUAGCAGCCCGCAUCACUAAAUCGCCACUGUUCCAAUCGACCCGAACUAACCUGUAAAAUUAAUGUAAGAGUGAGUAUUUAAAAACACCCAGUAAGAUACGUGCAAUUUCCAUACACAAUUACAUAACAAAUAAAUUAUACACUUCAUACCGCUCUUCUCUUAUGGAGUAUAUCGGUGACCAA